rnacentral:rRNA from 1 species
UUGGAGGGCAAGUCUGGUGCCAGCAGCCGCGGUAAUUCCAGCUCCAAUAGCGUAUAUUAAAGUUGUUGCAGUUAAAAAGCUCGUAGUUGAAUUUCGGGAUUGACGUGAUGGUCAUGCCUUAAGGGGUAUGAACUGUCACUGUUGAUUUCUCACUUUCUGGAGAAACUUGAUGUCCUUUAUUGGGUGUCUUGCGGAUCCAGGACCUUUACCUUGAAAAAAUUAGAGUGUUUAAAGCAGGCAUUUUUGCUCGAAUACAUUAGUAUGGAAUAAUAGAAUAGGACGGCAUGGUUCUAUUUUGUUGGUUUCUAGGAUCACCGUAAUGAUUAAUAGGGAUAGUUGGGGGCAUUAGUAUUCAAUUGUCAGGGGUGAAAUUCUUGGAUUUAUUGAAGACUAACUACUGCGAAAGCAUUUGCCAAGGAUGUUUUCAUUAAUCAAGAACGAAAGUUAGGGGAUCGAAGACGAUCAGAUACCGUCGUAGUCUUAACCAUAAACUAUGCUGACUAGGAAUCAGACGAUGUUAAUUUUUUAAUGACUCGUUUGGCACCUUACGGGAAACCAAAGUGUUUGGGUUC